GACGAACGCUGGCGGCGUGCCUAAUACAUGCAAGUAGAACGCUGAAGGAGGAGCUUGCUUCUCUGGAUGAGUUGCGAACGGGUGAGUAACGCGUAGGUAACCUGCCUGGUAGCGGGGGAUAACUAUUGGAAACGAUAGCUAAUACCGCAUAAGAGUAGUUGUUGCAUGACAUUUGCUUAAAAGGUGCAAUUGCAUCACUACCAGAUGGACCUGCGUUGUAUUAGCUAGUUGGUGGGGUAACGGCUCACCAAGGCGACGAUACAUAGCCGACCUGAGAGGGUGAUCGGCCACACUGGGACUGAGACACGGCCCAGACUCCUACGGGAGGCAGCAGUAGGGAAUCUUCGGCAAUGGACGGAAGUCUGACCGAGCAACGCCGCGUGAGUGAAGAAGGUUUUCGGAUCGUAAAGCUCUGUUGUAAGAGAAGAACGAGUGUGAGAGUGGAAAGUUCACACUGUGACGGUAUCUUACCAGAAAGGGACGGCUAACUACGUG
rnacentral:rRNA from 1 species